AGCGAACGCUGGCGGCAGGCCUAACACAUGCAAGUCGAACGAACUCUUCGGAGUUAGUGGCGGACGGGUGAGUAACACGUGGGAACGUGCCUUUUGGUUCGGAAUCACUCAGGGAAACUUGUGCUAAUACCGAAUGUGCCCUUCGGGGGUAAGAUUUAUCGCCAUUUGAGCGGCCCGCGUCUGAUUAGCUAGUUGGUGAGGUAACGGCUCACCAAGGCGACGAUCAGUAGCUGGUCGGAGAGGAUGACCAGCCACACUGGGACUGAGACACGGCCCAGACUCGUACGGGAGGCAGCAGUGGGGAAUCUUGCGCAAUGGGCGAAAGCCUGACGCAGCCAUGCCGCGUGAAUGAUGAAGGGCGUAGGAUUGUAAAAUUCUUUCAGAGGGGACGAUAAUGACGGUACCCGGAGAAGAAGCCCCGGCUAACUUCGUG
rnacentral:rRNA from 1 species